UGCGGAGUGGAGCAGUGGUCAGCUCGCCAGCCCCAUAAGCUGGAGGUCGUAGGUUCGAGUCCUACCUCGCGCAACCA
rnacentral:tRNA from 1 species